GACGAACGCUGGCGGCGUGCCUAAUACAUGCAAGUCGAGCGGACUUGUAGGAGCUUGCUCCUGCAAGUUAGCGGCGGACGGGUGAGUAACACGUGGGCAACCUACCUGUAAGACUGGAUAACUUCGGGAAACCGGAGCUAAUACCGGAUGAUACAAAGGAACUCCUGUUCCUUUGUUGAAAGAUGGCUUUUAGCUAUCACUUACAGAUGGGCCCGCGGCGCAUUAGGUAGUUGGUGAGGUAACGGCUCACCAAGGCGACGAUGCGUAGCCGACCUGAGAGGGUGAUCGGCCACACUGGGACUGAAACACGGCCCAGACUCCUACGGGAGGCAGCAGUAGGGAAUCUUCCGCAAUGGACGAAAGUCUGACGGAGCAACGCCGCGUGAGCGAUGAAGGCCUUCGGGUCGUAAGGCUCUGUUGUUAGGGAAGAACAAGUGCUAGUUAAAUAAGCUGGCACCUUGACGGUACCUAACCAGAAAGCCACGGCUAACUACGUGCCAGCAGCCGCCGUAACAC
rnacentral:rRNA from 1 species